UACGUAGGGGGCAAGCGUUGUCCGGAUUUAUUGGGCGUAAAGAGCGUGUAGGCGGCCAGAUAGGUCAGCUGUGAAAACUCGAGGCUCAACCUCGAGAUGUCGGCGGAAACCAUCUGGCUAGAGUCCGGAAGAGGAGAAUGGAAUUCCCGGUGUAGCGGUGAAAUGCGCAGAUAUCGGGAAGAACACCCGUGGCGAAGGCGGUUCUCUGGGACGGUACUGACGCUGAGACGCGAAAGAGUGGGGAGCAAACAGG
rnacentral:rRNA from 1 species